rnacentral:rRNA from 1 species
GACGAACGCUGGCGGCGUGCUUAACACAUGCAAGUCGAACGGAAAGGCCCUUCUUUUGUGGGGUGCUCGAGUGGCGAACGGGUGAGUAACACGUGAGUAACCUGCCCUUGACUUUGGGAUAACUUCAGGAAACUGGGGCUAAUACCGGAUAGGAGCUCCUGCUGCAUGGUGGGGGUUGGAAAGUUUCGGCGGUUGGGGAUGGACUCGCGGCUUAUCAGCUUGUCGGUGGGGUAGUGGCUUACCAAGGCUUUGACGGGUAGCCGGCCUGAGAGGGUGACCGGCCACAUUGGGACUGAGAUACGGCCCAGACUCCUACGGGAGGCAGCAGUGGGGAAUAUUGCACAAUGGGCGGAAGCCUGAUGCAGCAACGCCGCGUGCGGGAUGACGGCCUUCGGGUUGUAAACCGCUUUCGCCUGUGACGAAGCGUGAGUGACGGUAAUGGGUAAAGAAGCACCGGCUAACUACGUG